rnacentral:rRNA from 1 species
AUUGAACGCUGGCGGCAUGCUUUACACAUGCAAGUCGAACGGCAGCACGGACUUCGGUCUGGUGGCGAGUGGCGAACGGGUGAGUAAUACAUCGGAACGUACCCAGUAAUGGGGGAUAACUAGUCGAAAGAUUAGCUAAUACCGCAUACGCCCUACGGGGGAAAGAGGGGGAUCGCAAGACCUCUUGUUAUUGGAGCGGCCGAUGGCUGAUUAGCUAGUUGGUGGGGUAAAGGCCUACCAAGGCGACGAUCAGUAGCGGGUCUUAGAGGACGAUCCGCCACACUGGAACUGAGACACGGUCCAGACUCCUACGGGAGGCAGCAGUGGGGAAUCUUGGACAAUGGGCGAAAGCCUGACCCAGCAAUGCCGCGUGCGUGAAGAAGGCCUUCGGGUUGUAAGGCGCUUUUGUCUGGGAGCAAAUCCUUGUGGCUAAUACCCACCGGGGAUGAGAGUACCAGAAGAAUAAGGACCGGCUAACUACGUGCCAGCAGCCGCAGUAA